UAUAUAUAUAUAUGUGGGGGCUAGAUCAGUGGUGGUAAGUAAAGAAGAAAGCCACAUUUUUGAAAUGAUGGGGAAUUGAGGGCUAUGGAGAACUGGCACAGAAGAAAAGAGGCCUGGGACAGAUCAGCCGUGAUCACAUUGAAAGAUGGAGCAGGCUUGUGGGACUAAUUGGCAAACAUGCUCCUAUUUUCUUAUGUGCAUAUGUUGUUCUUGUCACUGUUUUCUCAAGAGUAAUUAGGGGUAGGCAUUAAAUGCUGCCUGCAUUUCAUAAAUCAAUUUUAUAAAAUGUACAAACGUCAAUAGUUCUGUCUCACUGAGUAUCUACCGGAUGGCUUGAGCAUUGCAAAGUGCAGCAGCACUGCAAGCGUUAAUGAAGCCAACCCUGAACAGCCCACCUCCUAACCUGGGCGUGUUACAAGUACAGUGCAUGGCUUUAGCUGUGCGAAAAUGUGUAGGAGAGAGUGAAAAAACAUUCCAGCUUAAUAAGAGAGACUGUUAAUAGAGAGUAGGGGGUGGGAGUGGUCGUGAGUUAAUAUCUGGUGUCAUGUGGUUAGAUCACAUUCCUAAUUCUGUCUUCUCAUGCAAAAGGCUGCAAAAGCACUAAAGGGGAUGCCAGAAGAAUGAGAGGUGUGGCAAUCCAGUUCAAACUGCAUGGCAGCAGAGGGGCGUAUUCUUGGCAGCAUUUGUCACUGUUGAGUACCACUGGUACUGCCUUUAAAAGCUGCUGCUGCAGCAGCUCUUUGCAACACUGUAAUUCUGGACAAUGUAUUAGGAUUGCAUUUAGUUAGGUAUUUAGUAUUUAUUUUCAGGUAUUUUUCCGAGGGUACUGUGGAUAGGACAUAUUCACUGGGCAGAAGGAACAAGAAGAGGGAGGGUGUUCCACCAGAUUAUAAACUACAUCACGCCCUUCCUUAAUUGCCACGGGCUAAAGCCAGUUCUGCAAUCCUUGGACAUAUUUCAAUUCUUCCCACUGUAAUGUAUGCAGGCAGAUUUUCACUUUUAACUUCACAUUUUAAAAUCCAGCCAUUUUGACUUUCUCUCUCAUGAACAGCGGUUGACCACACAUACCAAUUUAAAGAUUGCCAUUCAAACUAUAUUUCUGGAUUAAAAAAAAAAAAUUCUAUAUGCAUAUUCAAAAAAUUGGCCUUUAUCCUUUUUCCUUGCCACCGCCCUGUGGUUUCUUUCCUUAAGUACUGGGACCAACCCUUUCCCUUAUCCUCUUGUCACUGGCACUGUGCCUUUCCUGCCGAGAGGACAGGUGAGAAGAACUGCAGGCUGCUGUAUAGCAUGCAAAGCUGUGGGUCUCACUUGCUCCCACUCAUCUUGUCAUUGUGUGUGCGCGUCUCUGCCUUUUGGGCCAGUGAUUCCUGCAAAAAGGAGCUUGCGUGUGUCUGAAGGCACCAACUCUACUGUCGCACCUUUUGGAAUGUCAACUUCCAAUGCAAAUAGUAAUACACCCCUCAUCACAAGCUGGUAUCCAAAGCUCCAGAGCAGACUCUGGCUACAAAGGGGCAGUGGGGAUAAUAUCGAUGGUGAAGGAACUGGUGAUAACAAAUUGGAAGCUUCUUUCCGAUCUCUCUCAACUUUACUUUUGAUAACCUUUGAUGGAAAUUAAAAUUGUCAGUGAUUAAGACCACUUUGCAUAACGAUGGCUGGUGCUGUUGAUGACCUGAUUGGAAUCCCAUUUCCAGACCAUAGCAACACGCUGCUUUGUAGUUUGAAUGAACAGAGGCAGGAUGGUCUUUUCUGCGACGUUGUCCUGAUAGUAAAGGAUCAGGAGUACAAGACCCAUAGGUCAAUCCUUGCUGCGUGUAGCAAAUACUUCAAGGCACUGUUUACCUCAGACACUCUUGGAGAACAACACAAUGUUUACCAGAUUGACUUUGUGACACCAGAAGCACUUUCUGCGAUUUUAGAGUUUGCUUAUACUUCAACCCUCACUAUUAGCAACUCAAAUGUAAAGGAUGUGUUAAGUGCAGCACAGCAGUUGGAAAUCCAGUGUGUUAUUCAAGUAUGCAUUGAUAUCAUGGAGGCAAGUGGCGAGGUGAUCAAUGAAAGUGAACAUUCAGAAGAUGCAACCAUCAAAGAGCUCGAAGAUGAUCCAUCCCAAGACGACGUCAGGAAAUGCCUCCACCAAAAACCUGAAAAAUCUCUCAAACAAGAUCUUGAGCAAUCACCUCAAGAACCUACCAAUGAAUCUAGGCAAAACCAGUGGGGUAGGGAAUGUGAUUUUAAACGCUCCUUGAAUAGCAAUCUUGUAGAAAACCAAUGCAGAGAACUGCCUCAAGAAUUUUUAAACCGAUUUGCGGUUAAUAUUCCUGAUGGAAGCUUGGGACCUGUUAGCGAUUUCUCCUUGGAGUCGUUCUUAAAAGAAGGGUUGAGUUCCAGAGGGAAUUUGCUGAAUGGAGAGAUUCCACAUGGACCAGGAUUAUUUCCUCCCUACUGGAAUGGAGGAUAUAAUGGAUUUCCCCAGCUUGUGGAGAGUCAUGAUGUGGAUCAAUUGCCCCUUAAUCUGGUAAUGAAAAAAGAAAAUAUCAAACAAGAGGUCAAAGAAGAUCUGUCUACAACCACAAGUUUGUGUGACUUUUUUAAAGGUAUUCUGAUGGGAAACAGUCAGAAUAACCUGGACACAUUAAAAGAUGGACUGGAUUUUAAUUCCUAUUUGAAUAUAUUAGGUCCUUCCUAUUUGGCAGCAGUCUAUCCAACUUGGCCCUUGGAUUAUGAGAAAAAAAUGAGACCCAAGGCAUCUCAACAAUGUCCGAUCUGCAACAAAGUGAUCCAAGGAGCAGGAAAGUUACCACGACACAUGCGGACUCAUACAGGGGAGAAACCAUACAUGUGCAAUAUAUGUGAAGUCCGUUUUACCAGACAGGACAAGCUGAAGAUACACAUGCGAAAGCAUACAGGGGAAAGACCCUACACGUGUAUUCAUUGCAAUGCUAGGUUUGUGCAUAACUAUGACUUAAAAAACCACAUGCGGAUACACACAGGCGUCCGUCCUUACCAGUGUGUGCACUGCUUCAAGAGUUUUACCCGCUCUGAUCACCUGCACAGACACAUCAAGAGACUGAGCUGCCGCCUGCCACGGCCUCGGCGGGGCCGUAAACCUGCUGCCUGGCGCUCCACCAGCCUCCUCUACACACAGGGCGGCCCAUCUCAGGGCACAACGUCCAAUGAAAGCGGCAUCAGCAUCCUGCCAAAAGAAGAGGACAGAAUUCCAAAGGCAAGCAAGAUGGAGCUCGGCUACAUUGAAAAGCACUUUAAUGUAGAUGCUCAAAAUUCCAAGACCUUCAUCAGCAACACAGCAGUUGAAGAAAGAGAAAACUUCAUGGCAAACAUGUUGAAUGGGAACCAUGUCAUGGAUGAAAGGGACAGGAGCAUCUUUGCUUUUAGCCUGACUCACAACAAUGCUUUCUCUCACAUACCCCGACACUAUUUCUCAACAAGUGAUCCAUGGGGCAUGCAAUAUAAUCCUGCUGCUUCUAUUCCGGAGACUAAAGAAUCAUAACUGCAGACUGCAUAUGCAAUGGGAGAACUGAUGUUACUUGCUGGAUUUUUAGCUAUAAGAUGAUAAACAGCAAUGGGCCCGACAGCAGCCUGGGGCUCAGCUGGAAUGGGCGCCACUCCAAGAGGCCGAGCACAUGGACCGCACGUGGCCUACAGCGGAGGACACCAAUGGCUACGCUUGGCCAGGCCAACCCUGCAACACCGCCAGGACAAUGGGCCUUUAUGGUCAGGUCAAGAUUCCUGCACUUACAACAACUGGGACUUGAAAAUUGCACCAAACUGAUACUCUGUAUACUGUCUCCGUGAACUACUGCUAUACACUUGUACUGUAUCUGAGAUGUUUAUCUAAGAUGUAACCAAGUGCUUAUAUCCAGUGAUACUUGUACUGAACUGUAAACAAAAAUGAAUUUCACUGUGCCUCAGUAUGUGUGACAAAUAAAGUACCAAUGAACCAUUAUGAAUGUCCAUCUGAUUAAGGUGAUUAGGAUAGGUCUGAAGCUUCUAUCGAAAAAUAUGGGUGAUGUUUUCAAUAUAUUGUCAAUUGCUGAAUCUCUUUAAAGCCAGAGCAUAUUGCAUACACUGAGAAACUUUGAUGGAUUCCCUCUAGUGGUUAAAAACUAUAUAUUAUAGGGACACAAAUGCUUGCUUAACUACUUCAAAGUGAACAUCACAUGAGAAUAGAACGAUAUACAGAGUGUACAGCACAAUACCACCCCUUCCAUGCCAACAUUAUUUGCCCAUUUACAAUAACCUGCUCACAUUAGGUCUGUAUCAUUCUAUGCCUUAAAGGUAUGGUGCACACCCAGAUAUCUGUGUAAAAAUGCCGCUCUGUCUAAAACAAAUGCCCUUUAAAACUCCUUCCACAUCUUAAAUGUAUACAUGAAGUUCUGGUGAAAGCAAAUAAACCUAAAAUGUUAACUGUUUAUUUCUCCACUGAUGCUGGUUCCCCUAUUAAGCAUUUCCACCAUUUUAAGAGCAUUUAUUUUUCAGAAUGCUGGAAUCUUGAUUUUGAAUGCAUGAAUGAAAUUGUUCUGGCAUUGUAAUAUUUUCAAAAGUCAUCAUGGAAAUUUGAAUUAGACUUUUCUCUCAUGAUGAGAAUUUGCUGUUUGGUAUGCUGAGAUGAUGCCACCUUGUAACAUUAAGAUGAUGUAGCAUGAAGAAUCCUUGUAAAUCAGCAGUCAAUGCUUCUGGAAGAAAAUACAGUCCAGUGGUUGGAAUCUCACUUUACAUAAAAGACCACAAUCCAUGAGGAUUGGUGACAACACCUCCUCCACAAUAAUUUUCACCAUCAGAGCCUCGCAAGGAUGCAUUCUCACUCCCUUACUUUUAUACUCACGACAGUACAGCCACAUUCUGGCCUAACUCCAUCUACAAGUUUGCAUUGUGUGGGCCCAAUCUGGUGGGCCAAAUCAUGAACAAUGACGAGACGAAGUACAGGAAGGAGUUAGUAACAUGGUAUCAGGACAAUAACCUCAUCUUCAAUGUCAGCAAAAUGAAGGAGCUUGUUGCCGACUUCAGGAGGAAUGGCGGACAAUAUGCCCCUAUGAGCAUCAGUGGUGCCGAAGUGGAAAUGUUUGAGAGCUUCAAAUUCCUUGAUGAUAAUGUUACCAACAAUCCGUCAUGAACCAAACACAUUGAUGCAAUAGCCAAGAAGUUACACCACCAACUAUAUUACCUGAGGAGAAUUAGGAAGUUUGUCGAGUCUUCAUUGAUUCUUUCAAAUUUCUAUGGAUGCACUGCAGAAAGCACAAGGGGACACAAAGUGCUAGAGUAACUCAGCAGGUCAGGCAACAUCUCUGGAAAACAUGGAUAUAUUAUGAUUUGGGUCAAGACCCUUCCUCAGACUGACUAGUUUUUGGACAUUCAUCCUUACUCCAGGACAUCUGGGAGCUCAACAGAAAGAAAAAAACAGGGCCAACUAUUUUCAGCUGUUUCAUCAAUGAUUGCCAUGCAAUCAUGAUUUAAUUGUAAUCAUGUACAGUCUUUUUUUUUCUGGAUAGCACACAACAAAAAGUUUUGUACCUCGUUUCUUGUGGCAAUAAUAAACUAAACCUCCGAAAUGGGGAUGUUUAGUUGUGAUUGAACAAUGUUUAAUUCAUUCGCAAUGAGAAUCAUAGUUAAACAACAUGGAAACUGGCGCUUUGACCCAACUUGCCCAUGCUAACCAAGAUGCCCCAUCUACACUAGUCCCACCUCCCUGCAUUUGGCCCAUAUCCUUCUAAACCUUUCCUAUCCACUUACCUGUCCAAAUCUUCUCUAUAUAACUAAGCAUCUUUGUCUUGUUUGUGUCUCUGUGUGUGUCAAUCUGGUGAAUUCAUAUCUUCUUCCAAACGCUAGGCCACAGCCUUCCCAUUUUCACACAGCCCACUCACAUUUUUCCCGUGGUGGCGAUAAACAUCUUCCCGUCGCAUUUCCACCUAUAUUUCCGAAGUUAUUCAUCGUUGACAUUUUAAAUAC